rnacentral:rRNA from 1 species
UACGUAGGGCGCAAGCGUUGUCCGGAAUUAUUGGGCGAAAGAGCUCGUAGGCGGCUUGUCACGUCUGCUGUGAAAUCCCGGGGCUUAACCCCGGGCGUGCAGUGGAUACGGGCUGGCUAGAGGCAGGCAGGGGAGAACGGAAUUCCCGGUGUAGCGGUGAAAUGCGCAGAUAUCGGGAGGAACACCGGUGGCGAAGGCGGUUCUCUGGGCCUGUUCUGACGCUGAGGA